UCUUUAAUGGUUUGGUCGAGUAACAGGGGACUCUCAGAGAAAAGAUUGAGCUUCAGUAGAAUGCUAAAGGUAAAAGCCAAUGGACACAUACAAGAACAGACUCCCAUCUACCCAAUGAUAUUGUAUGAUAGCUCAGAAGAUGAUCUCAGUCCCAUAGAUUUCCUAACUCUACCCUUUUUCUCAUUCUUUCUCUCUUUUUGGUUCAAGUUCUAAGGGGUUCUCUUUGAAACGGUU
rnacentral:sRNA from 1 species